rnacentral:other from 1 species
UUCGUCCUGGGGUAUUCGUAGAAGCUUAUGUAAAUUCAACCUACAAAUUGUAUACGGGAGCUUGAGUUCUACACUAGAUGGCAAGCCACACAGGGUAUGUGGAAGUCAGAAGGUGUAGACAGAGCACCCACCUAGGUGAACCUGGGUGUGAAUUUGAUGAGCUAACGGUACCUCGGGUUAAAA